rnacentral:rRNA from 1 species
UACGUAGGGGGCUAGCGUUGUCCGGAUUUAUUGGGCGUAAAGAGCGUGUAGGCGGCCAGGCAGGUCUGCUGUGAAAACUCGAGGCUCAACCUCGAGACGUCGGCGGAAACCAUCUGGCUAGAGUCCGGAAGAGGAGAGUGGAAUUCCUGGUGUAGCGGUGAAAUGCGUAGAUAUCGGGAGGAACACCAGUGGCGAAGGCGACUACCUGGCCUAUUCUUGACGCUGAGGCGCGAAAGCUAGGGGAGCAAACGGG